UAUACUGUUCAUCAUAAAAUUAGUUGACCUUCCGAAAUAUCCUGCGUGGCUUCUUGCGGUCGUGCAAGCGUGCCACAUUUGACACAACACGGGAUAAUAGUCAGAGAAUGAAAGCCGAGGGUUUGCGUCACACUGACAGCCAUUUGAGCUGCGACAUGACACAACUUCUUGUUCGUUCUUUCGCCUCGUGGCAACUGUUGACAUGCAUGGCAGUUUGAGACUUGUUAUCGUCUCCUCUCCGAAACUACCGCCACCCAGACCUCUUGUACCAUUUCAAAACGAUGCUACAGCUCGACAAAUCAUUCACCGGUUUAGGUUCUGAGGAGAUGGAAAAUAAACCCAGUAGGGUUCUGAGGUCAGGAGACUUGGGUCAAGUCGUGGAGGCCAGAAAAUGCUAAAACUGGGAGGCCAUCAACUCACGACCUGAGACAGCAGCAGGAGAUGAGAGCCAAGCAAUUAAGAGGAUGGAGGAGAUUAAAGUGGAGAGUUUCAGCAUUGCGGCUCGGUCCUUCCCUCCGAACUUGAAGAAAUUGGUGCCGCUGUUGGAGAACUGCAACGAUUAUGCACCCACAAACCACACCGUUGAAAUAAUACACUUAUGCCUGAGAAUGCAAUUAGUGAUAGUCCGACAGCACUCUUAUUACUCUACUUUUUUCUGUGUGUGUGUGUGUGUGUGUGUGUGUGUGUGUGUGUGUGUGUGUGUGUGUGUGUGUGAGAAAGAGAUUGUUGUGUCGGCUAAUUAAAGUCUGAUAAUCAUGAAAGAUAAACUACAGUUAAUCGCGGCAAUCAAAAUGCAUGCCAAUUACUGUAUGGCUGACUAAUUAAUGGGCAUACGCAAUCCACUUUUAAUGACAGUUAAUGUGCCGAAAUGCGCCUCAUCUUGGCAAGUUCACAAGAGGAAGAAACACAAUAAAUGUUUGCAAAAAAAAAAAAAA